GUGUUGUAUGAAAGGAGAGACGAUUAGCACUCCCCUUGAUAAGGAUGGAAGAGAUCCUAGCAGCCUUUACAACACAUAUACAGUUAAGACAUUGCCACCUACUCUGUGGCAUCUAACCAUGUUUUAUU
ensembl:snRNA